GGGCAAGUAGCUCAAUGGCGGAGCAAUCGGUUUACAUCCGAUAGGUUACAGGUUCGAGUCCUGUCUUGCCCACCA
rnacentral:tRNA from 1 species